UACGUAGGGUCCGAGCGUUGUCCGGAAUUAUUGGGCGUAAAGGGCUCGUAGGCGGUGUGUCACGUCGGCCGUGAAAACCUGCAGCUUAACUGUGGGCGUGCGGUCGAUACGGGCAUCACUGGAGUUCGGCAGGGGAGACUGGAAUUCCUGGUGUAGCGGUGAAAUGCGCAGAUAUCAGGAGGAACACCGGUGGCGAAGGCGGGUCUCUGGGCCGAUACUGACGCUGGAGGAGCGGAAAGCGUGGGGAGCAAACAGG
rnacentral:rRNA from 1 species